GUGAUAAACAUCAUACGGAUUAGCCACACACAUUUUCCAUAUCAGCAAUCAACCAAGAAAUGGCAAUUCCUAGCGUCUGGUUGUGUCCCAAACUCCCUCCGAAUCCAAAUAAACUUCAGAGUCCUAACCCGUUCCCACUAACCCAUCAAUUUUCUUCUUUCUCUCCACAGGUUUCUCUGAAUUCAGUUGAGAGUUCGAGAAAUGCUUUGGUCUCUUUUGGUGAAUCAAUAUCAAGAGCAAGCUUUCUAGCUCUUCUCUCUGCUUCACUCUUCUUGGCCUCGGAUCCUGCUUUAGCGUUUAAGGGUGGAGGUCCUUACGGUGCUGGAGUGACAAGGGGCCAAGAUCUUACAGGGAAGGAUUUUAGUGGCAAAACUUUGAUCAAACAAGACUUUAAAACGUCAAUACUCAGGCAAGCUAAUUUUAAAGGCGCAAAUUUAAUUGGAGCUAGCUUCUUUGAUGCCGAUUUAACAGGGGCUGAUCUUUCAGAUGCUGAUCUUAGAGGGGCUGACUUCUCCUUAGCAAAUGUGACAAAGGUGAAUUUAAGCAACGCUAACCUGGAAGGAGCACUUACAACUGGCAAUACAUCUUUCAAGGGGUCCAAUAUAGAAGGGGCAGACUUCACGGAUGUUCCUUUAAGAGACGAUCAACGGGAAUACCUUUGCAAGAUUGCUGACGGGGUGAAUCCAGUAACCGGUAAUGCAACACGAGACACAUUGUUGUGCAAAUAGCCUGCUGAUUUCAGAAUCUAGUAGUUGAUCGCUGCAAAUCAUGACAAUAAAACAGACAGUUUCAGUCUAUGCUAUUUACUCCUGGAUGAUGAACUUCAGAUCCGGGUGCUUUCGAUCCCGGUGGCAGUCAUUGAUCGAGGUUGCAGGUGUUGGAGAUCGUUGAGGUAUUUGCAUGGCGUUCACAUAUCUUAACCCUCCUUCUCUAUUUUAGUUGUGUUUCAGUUGUAUUCAGUAAACAUUAUAGUAGACUAUGUUAUUUCUCUAGACGCUCCUGUACUCCAUGACACCCUGGUUUUGGGCUGGUUGUUUCGUAUUAUGAAUUAUGCCUUAUGUUUUUAAAACAGUUUACUUAAAUGAUAAAUGUGUUUUUCCGCAAA